rnacentral:rRNA from 1 species
ACCAGACUCCUACGGGAGGCAGCAGUUAGGAAUAUUCGUCAAUGGGGGAAACCCUGAACGAGCAAUGCCGCGUGAGUGAUGAAGGUCUUAAUGAUUGUAAAACUCUGUUGUGAAGGAAGAAUAGCCAUCAUAGGUAAUGAUGAUGGUGUGACGGUACUUCACCAGAAAGCACCGGCUAACUCCGUGCCAGCAGCCGCGGUAAUACGGAGGGUGCGAGCGUUAAUCGGAAUUACUGGGCGUAAAGCGCUCGUAGGCGGUAUGUCAAGUCAAGGGUGAAAUCCCCGCGCUCAACGUGGGAACUGCCUUUGAAACUGGCAAACUGGAGUGUGUGAGAGGAUAGUGGAAUUCCAGGUGUAGGAGUGAAAUCCGUAGAUAUCUGGAGGAACAUCAGUGGCGAAGGCGACUAUCUGGCACAUAACUGACGCUGAGGAGCGAAAGCGUGGGUAGCAAACAGGAUUAGAUACCCGUGUA